CACGUAGGGCGCAAGCGUUGUCCGGAAUUAUUGGGCGUAAAGAGCUCGUAGGCGGACUGUCACGUCUGCUGUGAAAAGCUGGGGCUUAACCCUGGCCUUGCAGUGGAUACGGGCAGACUAGAGGUAGGUAGGGGAGAAUGGAAUUCCCGGUGUAGCGGUGAAAUGCGCAGAUAUCGGGAGGAACACCGGUGGCGAAGGCGGUUCUCUGGGCAGUAACUGACGCUGAGGAGCGAAAGCGUGGGGAGCGAACAGG
rnacentral:rRNA from 1 species